CUAAAUAGUAAAUGCAUACCAUUAAUUCCAGGAUGUGAAUGCAAAUAGAAAACCAAGUCCUAAAUAUAAAAAUACUAUAGGUCACUAUGCUUCCAGCUCAAACAUAGGCUUUCACUGCGCUAACAAAAAUAUUGGAGGCCAGAUUCAAAAACAGGGGUUUAAAAAAAAAAAAUAUUCCCAAGGUGCCUGUUUUAUAAUUGACAUUUAUCCACCACCCCAGGCUCCCAAAGAAUUGGAAAAUACACUAGCAUCCUUUGGUGGAUUCAUCUCCUGGUAUGUCAUCUUCGUCAUGGUAUAUAUUCUCUGCCAUUUGCCAUAU
rnacentral:misc_RNA from 1 species